UUUGAGAAAUUUAAAUUGUAAAUUUGUUAGCUAUGACCUAUAUAUGUGUGAAGUUAUAUUAUACUUUCUCACUUUCUUAAUAUAAAUUAUUUUAGGGGAGUAUUUCUGUUCUUUAAUAUAAAUGGUUUGAGAAUUUCAAGUAAGUAUUAUUCCCUCCGUUCCUAAAUAAAUGUCGUUUUAAAAGAAAAAAUUUAUUCCAAUUUAUAUGUCGU
rnacentral:lncRNA from 1 species